rnacentral:rRNA from 1 species
GACGAACGCUGGCGGCGCGCUUAACACAUGCAAGUCGAGCGAUGAAACUUUAACAGCACCCUUCGGGGCGAAGAUAAAGUGGAUUAGCGGCGGACGGGUGAGUAACACGUGAGUAACCUGCCUUAGACAUUGGGAUAGCCUCGGGAAACCGGGAUUAAUACCAAAUAAAAUCAUAAUGACACAUGUCAUAACGAUCAAAACUCCGGUGGUCUAAGAUGGACUCGCGUCCCAUUGGCUAGUUGGUAGAGUAAAAGCCUACCAAGGAGAAGAUGGGUAGCCGGCAUGAGAGGGUGAACGGCCACACUGGAACUGAGAAAAGGUCCAAACUCCUACGGGAGGCAGCAGUGGGGAAUAUUGCACAAUGGAGGGAACUCUGAUGCAGCGACGCCGCGUGAACGAAGAAGGCUUUAGAGACGUAAAGUUCUUUUAUAUGGGAAGAUAAUGACGGUACCAUAAGAAAAAGCCCCGGCUAACUACGUG